GCUUAUUCAUGAGGCUGUUAGAGGGAAAAGAGAGAAAAGUCGUCAGUAUAGUGUCGCUCUCCAGUCUUCUUUCUAAGCUUGAGCAGGACAAUGAAUUCCAUGAGUUCCUAUAUUAAGUAUUCAUUGAUUGCGAAAAAGAUUUCGAUCGACUUAACUACGAAAAUCUAUGGAGCGUCUUAAGGUGCAAGAGUCCCAGAUAAAAUCACCUAGCUCAUUCAAGCGCAGUACGAGGGUUUCACAUGCAAAGUUUCUACAUAACGGAAACUGGUCACCGGCGUGAGGCAGGGAUGUAUAUUAUCACCGCUACUGUUCCUCCGUUUUCGUUAUCGACGAGAUCACGGUAGGUGCAAUUGACCGCGUUCCGAAUCGUGGGCUACCCUGGAAGCCUAACACCGUUGAGCACCUCAACGACUUCGAUUUGGCUGAUGACGUUGUGUUACUAGCACAAUAAGAAAGUCGAAAGCUUCUUAUAUCUAGAUAACCAAACAGCGUUAGGCGGCGCUACGAAGAGCGACGUAGGUGCAAGGAUCAAGCAGGCUGGGGCUGCUUUUGCGAGUCUACGAAACGUAUGGAGAUUGAACCAGAUUAGUUUGCGCACCAAAACCGGAAUUUUCAACUUAAACGUGGAACCUGUGUUGCUAUACGCCAGCGAGACGUGGUGUGUGUCAGCAAAUUCGUGCCUGAUGGGUCUCAAAUGCCGAAUUUCAUCGCCAGUGCUAUCAGAAGCCGAUAACAACAGAAAUUCAGAAACGAUGCUAGGGGUGGGUCGGCCUGCAAGCAAGUGCUGGGCUGAAAUCCAGUAGGAUACCGUAGCAGAGGUAGAACCAAGAGCUCGUGGCGACGAAGCCGCAACAUGGAAAUCUAGAAGUCGAUAGGAAUCUGACCUGAGAUCAGGUCAAGGCUGAAGCGAGCAGCCUUCCAGGUUAGAAAUUUUUUAACGUUACGGUGUUUUCAACAUCCAGCGUGAUAGCCUCUAGUGUGCUGUCCUUGACUUCUAACACCUGAGAACGAAAUCAGUCAAUAAAGGUCACGGUAGUUUGUGCGUCCUCGUUAAAACCAACCAUAUGACAUUCAUUUGCUUUGGGAUCCCACUUACGGCGCUUUUGUUUCGAGAUACACCAUCAACCAUGUACGCUGAACGAUUGUCCGGUUGGUCCCAUUCACCGAUGCCAUAUAUGCAGCGUUCCGUUCGACAGCCACACCAGAACUUUGCCAGUUCCAGAUUGCUAACGCUGCUUGAAAAGUUCAUCUUCAAAACGUCCCUUUACCACUGCGUCAUCGCUAGAGUUUAUCACCUUGCGGCCGGCGUAGUUGAUCGUGUAACCCCUACUCGCGAAAUUGUUGACUGAGAGGAAAUUCACGGAUAGCUUCGGGAUGUAUUGGACAUCAUUCAUCGGAAUCUCAGAUUUUUCGUCGCAGACAGGUUGAACGACAACAGUUCCCGUUAACUCAAUGUCAAUCGAAGCCUCUUUCGCGACCACUACCAUGCCACUAGGCUGCCGCUCAUAGCAAGUCCGUUCCAUUUGCGUUUUGGUGCUGACGAGAAAACAGCAAUUGAAAAUCGUAACGCUUUGGGUGAAAUUUGGCACUCAAAUGCUUUUUCAAUCAAGACCAUCAACAGAAUUUAGUACUGCAAUGACAAUCUAACACUUUUACAUCAUAAAACUUGUAUAAACACCGAAAUUUGACUAAAAUUUGUUGAAAAUCAUAAGCUGGGACUCACAUGCGAUUACUUUUAGGGUACGUAGGCAGAAUGAUAGCAAGUCAGUCCCAUAGCCAGCUACGACCGGUGAUGAAAAACCAACUACUGCAAAUCGAUGGCGGUGCUAUAGCUUACGUUUGGAAUGAAUCUAUCGCUGGUCAAUUCAUAAAUGACCUUCUCUCGUGCCUUAUCAAACAAGUUUUUUGUGAGAAGCAUAACAUAAUGUACCAACUGCGCCGCUAAGAAUAAAAUUAGAUUUUGUUUUUACAUUUGAUACUACUGAUAAAUUCGAAAUCAGUGUAAGUAACUUAUUCUAAAUUUUCCUGAGAGCGUCCACACGUUCGUGACGGCGGACAGCUUCGACGUAGCAGUGGAAGCAAAUAUGGAAGAACAAAUACAGCUUAGGAAAAUGUUUGCUCCGUUAAGAAACAGUUAAGUAGCGUACCGAAGUAUUUGAUAUGACUAACAAAUUCUUCAAAACGAAAUUCACGACAAUAAUGUUACAAUUCUGGCCCACGUCUUUACAUAAAAUACGGAUAAAAUACGAAAAGUAGUAUUUACUCAAGAAUGCUUUAACUAACAAUACAGUGACACACCUGAAGCGUUCAUUGUCAACAACCAACAGCUGAAAGAAGCUACUGAUGGAAACUUUGUCUUGAAGAAAACAUUGUACUAUCAGCUAGAGUCACACGAUGUAGAAAGUGUAAAAUUUAAUCAAACCUCCUAUCGAAUAUCACUUGGUACAUCCAAUUCUAAACCUGAAGACCAUAAGUUGUGGUAUAUACGAGGGUAAAUAUCACAUUUUUCAUAAUCAUUAUUGGCUGUGGGGUUAAAUUGCGAAGAUUUUUGCAAUGGGACCGACUUGCGAUCACUUUUGCUAUGGGACAAACCGACUUGCUAUUUUUUUCAUAGUUCCUCAGAACGAAGUAUUCAAAAAUAUUAGUUCUAUCGAAAGUAGACAUAAAAAGGAAUUGAUUCCAUAAAUAAACUCAAAAUUGACAGAAAUGCAAUUGGGACGGACUUGCCAUGAGCGGCAGUAGGGCGCUUCACACUCUGCAGCAACACCAUUAUCUGGGUCAUGUGGCAUCACUGAGCGCUUUGAACGUCGACCAACGGUACAAAGGCAUCUCUCUUCUUCAUAUUUCUGCAAUGCCUACCCAGCAAUGUGCCCAUAGUUGUGACACUUUCUGCACUUCGGUCUCUUUGAAGGGCUGGAUUGAUUGUGACUGAUUGUGGUUACCAUGGUUCUGGUUUCCAAGAAAACAAUGCGUACCAUGGUUAAGUAUUCCGGCAUUGAUUGUUUUAUUGUUGAUGUUAGAAACCGUUAUGGCAACUUGUCUUCUCACUAUGUACAUAAAUAGGCUCCCUAGUUUUAACCGGCAUCUAUCUCGUCCACUUUUAAAACACGCUAAUUUACUGAAAAAUUUGUAUUAAAUGAACUGCAAUCUUGACUAGAGGACACUGUAUAUUUAGUUAUACACUGUUCUCUAAUCUUGGCAAACGUUUGGCGUCAUUAACGAGAAUCGUUUUACAUAUUGUUAAGCCAUUAUAUUUGCGAGUUUUACGUAAGUUUCGUUAUUUACGCGGUUGCCAACGCUGAUUUCGAAAUUUACAUGUUUUUAAUGCGACUCACAUUCUCUGUAUCAAAAUUUAAUAAUUCGUAGUAGAAGUUCUGUUUUAAUAAAUUACUUGGAAGCUUGCACGUACAUAAAAAUAUUAUGGUUGUCCGACUUUUCCUAGAAAACCAUUCCCCAGAAAAUAAAGUGUCGAAGGAUUUUCCCCAGAAUGAACCAUUCUCCAGAAUGCCAAAUCCCAGAAUAUACUAGUUACCAGAACUCUAAACCCCUGAUAGUACUAGUUACCAGAAAACCGUUUCCCAGAAUGCACCAAUGCCCAGAAAACUAUUCUCCAGCAUCACCGUAACCGGAAAAAAAAACAUUAGUAGGGUAAGAUGGGUCACGGGGCAAGAUGGGUCAGUGCCGUUUUUGAGCGUGAAAUAAGUUUUUUUUUGUGAUGACACUAAUUUUGCAUGGUGCUUAACGUAUUUUUGACUACGUAUCACGUGUUCAUUGUUCAUAUUUGCAUAUUGCUUGUUUUUAAUAAAUAAAAUAUUUUUUCGCUAAGUUUCUUAGGCGAUUUACACUUUUGAAAAAAACGUGUUCUUUCGUCGUACGCUAUAUAAUUUGAAGUAAACCUUUAUUGCAAAAGCAGUUUUGCUCAUGAUGUACUAAAUAAUAUGCUUUUGAGCAUAAAUAAAUGUAAAAUAAACAUGAAUAUUGCAAUCGUGGCCUAAAUUAAUGAUUGGGGCAGUAUAGGUCACCCAAGACAAGGCAGUAUAGUUUUGUCAACAUUUCAGUUUUAAGGCUAGAUUCGACGCAAAUGGUGUUGUCACUUUGAAAAAACAUUCAUUGCUUCAAUAAGUCGACAGUAGCGAAGUUCUUCAAAAUGCUACAAAAAGUAAUCGCCGAGGAAAAUUUCAUCCCUUCGGCGGUAUAAUAUGGACGAGAUGACCCAAUACUUUUGUUAUCUAUGAAGAGAAGGCAUUUUUCUUGCUAUCCAUAAAAAGUUCGUUGAGAUUUAAUCAUAAUUUUGUUCUGUUUGAGAGGGUGACCCAUCUUACCCCACCAAAUGACCCAUCUUGCCCCGCCUUUUUUACAGUGCAAUAAAAAACAACCUUUUCUAAGAAUUCUGUAAAAGCGAACCAACACUUGAUUUUUGUUAUUUUUUAGCGUAAUUUUAUAAAAUAUGCAUAACAUCAAUAUAAUCAUCUGAAAAGUAGACCAAAAGUAACUUCAGUUACGAGAUAUUGAAAAUUUGGCUUAUUUGACCCAUCUUGCCCCACCUUACCCUAUUCAGUUAUUAUAUUGUUAAAAUUCUAAAUUAUUUGACAUUUUUGAUUAACACUUGCGUACUAGAGCCGAAAAUAUGAAAAUUCUUUUACCUGCCAUUCCGCAAGAUCUAAACCGAAUUUGAUCGAACCUUUUUCAAAGGAUCACAAAUUUAUCAUAGUUUUUGGGACAGUAGGGGACAUUUGUUCCGGAUUUAUCAAGGGGAAAGGUGGGGUAAGUACCCUUCCAGAGACACAGGCUAAAUUAAAAACGGUAGCGAAACCUUGCUUCAACAUAUCAAGCUUUAGGUUCUUGCAAAACAACAAUAUUAACGAUUGGUAUUUCGCCACUUUGUUUUAAUUCGAUAGACCCGCGACCCGGCAGCCCCGUAGCCCGAGUCAUCACAGUCUUCAGAGCCAAUCCUUAUCCCGAAGUUACGGAUCUAAUUUCCCGACUUACCUUACCCACAUUGAUCUAUCGACUAGAGACCCUACACCUUGGAGACCUGCUGCGGAUUCGGUACAAGCUGUUGAGACUUUGCGUACCCCAGUCUUCGAUUUUCAAGGUCUACUACCAUGCUCUACUAGCCUGUCCAACCAUAUCUCUCUAUGAAAGACUUCCAUGGCUAGUAUGACUGUUAAACAGAAAAGAAAACUCUUCCGAUGUCUCUUGUUGGCUUCUCGAAGGAAAGGAUUCAUGUUGCCAUGAUUACAAAGGCGCUACCGUUUCCGGUGUGCACGCCAAUGCAAACGUAUACUCAACAGGUUCCGGAAUUGUAACCGGGUUCCCUUUCGCUCCUUUAAUAUAUACUAGUGGAUGUUGCAUCGACCCAGGAAAACGAACGAACCUCUACAGAGGUAAUUUCUGCGGGGGGGCUGCCCCCCAUGUGAACUAGAUUAACCGAAUUAAGAUGAGAAGGGGUAUUUUAGAUUUUUGGUCAAGGAGCCUCAGAAAUCAAUUCGCUACUGUGUUUUUGUGGUCGACUUGUGAUGUUCAUUCAGCCAAAAACGAUUACUGAAAGUUCUCUGAUUUUAUGACUAUGGCCUGGUGUCAAGCGCUUACUUAUUUACUCCAUGAAAGAACAAAUGUAUUAGUUGACAAUAAGUUGAUUCAAAUGACAGAAUCGUUAUACAUUUCAGAUAUACAAAAACUCAAUUUUAACAGAUUUUCCAUGUUGAAAAAUAAUGCAUAUUUCUUCGUUUUAGGAUAACAGUUUUCUGGAAAACGGUAUUUUCUGGUAGAUAGUUUUCUGGGCAUUGGUUCAUUCCGGAUAAUAACUUUCUGGGGAUUAGUACUUUAUGGGUAGCAGUUUUCUGGUGAUUGGUACAUUCUGGGAUUUUGUUUUCUGGGGAAAAAGUUUCGGCGUUUUAUUUUCUGGGGAAUAGUUUUCGAGGAAUUGUUAUACAAUCUAAUAUUAUUGAACAAAAUUAGUAACAUCUGGCGGACUUCAGUGAACAAGCAGCCUGUCAGAAGGAAAGGAUGCCUGCAAUAGUAUUACGAGCAAAAUAUGUUGAGGUGCCUGAGCAUCUCAUCCAGAUAGUAAGAUUGCAAGAGUUGAAACUAUUUAUUGAUUUCUACCAAUAGUUAAACACGCGGUCGUGUCUUAAACACCACCUAAGUAAUGUAUUUAUGAUCGAAAUAUUUAAAGACCUCCUCAGAAAAUGAUAACACACUUCAAAUACAUAAAAAGCCUCUUACUCUGCAUGCCAUAACCGUUGAAAUCUCAUGUCCUAAAGCUCUUUCCAUUUUCUUGACUCCACGCUACUAUUUUCAACUACCUAUAUUCAGCAAAAAAUAUUUUAUAGAGGAACAAGUGUAACCAGUCGUCCGAUCACCGAUCGAAGUCAGUCUGUCACAGCUUACAACAACGACGAUAUUGUCCUUUUAAUUACAUAUUUUUGCCUAUUUAUAGCCAUAUAUACAGCUGUCGCACUUGUUUUGGUUUCAAGGCAUGCCAUCAAGAAGCGCUGGUGACACACGUUUCUUUCUGUACAGUUUGGCGGGUUUUUCAUUUUAUUACUCGUUCCUGUAGUUAGUAGAUGCGGCUAGAUUAUUUAUCUAUUAGCUUUUUCUACCUUCUUUCCCUGUACUAUGCUUGAAUGAUUACUGGCCAUGGGGACAGAGAGAGCGUUACGGCAGAUGAUACCAUGUGGCGAAAUAGACGGGAAUAUACCGAGUCGAUUCUGUUGGCAUCGAGUCAGUCGAGUUGCAGAUUUUGACCCCGGUAGGUGUCUACAAGAAAACAACAGAACUAUUGAUAUUCGUCGGUGAUAUCGUGCGUGACGCAGUGACAAUGGGUAAAGGCAAAGGUGGCGGCGGAGGCGGAGGUGCUGGAGGAACCCAGGGUGGCAAUCAAAAAGGUGGCGGAGGCAAACCAAAGGGUGGAAAUGACGGUAAAAGUGCUGCUGGAGGUAAGGGACCAGACAAAGGAGGAAAAAAGGGUGGCAAUAAAAAAUAAGGACGGCAGUAUCACCAGCUUCAACCCGUUCCCCGGACAGCAUCCAUAUACGGUAGCUUUUCGGAAGAGAUAAAUUUGAACUGUGACCAAUAAUUGUGAGAUUAAGCUAGAUCGUGUUACACUUCUGUGAAUGUUUUUAUUACAUAUACACGACCACGUUUAAAUUAUAUUGUGUAAUAGUAUUUAAGAUGUACAUACUGUAAUUAUUGUAUCCGACGAUAAUAAAACGACGCAAAAGCUAUAUUUAAAUUUUAGCGACUGACGGAUAGAAA